rnacentral:piRNA from 1 species
UCAUCAGGCAGAGAGAUGGUCUCUAUAAA